rnacentral:lncRNA from 1 species
GUAGCUACAGGAUACCUGGUGCUUAGGCCCCUUAAGGACUCCACUCCUGAGCAAGGUCAUAAAUUCUAGCACUUUACAUACCGAAGCUUAGGAAGACAGAAUAUCAGAUCAAGAUUCUCUCUCUAGCAGAGAUUGGAGAUUCCUGAGUGAGAAGAGGCCAUAGGAUACUUUGAAGGCUGAAUUGAUCCAUUAGCCUGUGGUGCUACAAGCCUGGGCCGCAAUAAUGCUGUAUCCCUCCAGAGGCCUGGCGUGAAAUCAAAUAGGAGCAAUGAGAAUAAAUACGUGUGCCUGAGUCAAAGAAGAAAGGAAGCCACUUCCAGCCUGGCUAAGGAGAAAGAAGCAAGAGUACAGGGAAAAUGGGGACCAGGUCUACCUUUUGCCAGGAGGUAGACUUAUUUAUCUGGUUUGUACAACCUGAUGGUUUUUUGUGUUGCCAUAAUAG